rnacentral:rRNA from 1 species
AGAAUCAACGCUGGCGGCGUGCCUAACACAUGCAAGUCGAACGAGAAAGUGGAGCAAUCCAUGAGUAAAGUGGCGACCGGGUGAGUAACACGUGACUAACCUACCUUCGAGUGGGGGAUAACAUCGGGAAACCGAUGCUAAUACCGCAUAACAUCGCAAGAUCAAAGCAGUAAUGCGCUUGAAGAGGGGGUCGCGGCUGAUUAGCUAGUUGGCGGGGUAACGGCCCACCAAGGCGAAGAUCGGUAGCCGGCCUGAGAGGGCGCACGGCCACACUGGAACUGAAACACGGUCCAGACUCCUACGGGAGGCAGCAGUGGGGAAUUUUGCGCAAUGGGGGAAACCCUGACGCAGCAACGCCGCGUGGAGGAUGAAGCCCCUUGGGGCGUAAACUCCUUUCGACCAAGACGAUAAUGACGGUACUGGUGGAAGAAGCACCGGCUAACUCUGUGCCAGCAGCCGC